rnacentral:rRNA from 1 species
AGAAUCAACGCUGGCGGCGUGCCUAACACAUGCAAGUCGCACGAGAAAGGGACUUCGGUCCCGAGUACAGUGGCGCACGGGUGAGUAACACGUGAAUAAUCUACCUCCGAGUGGGGAAUAACUGAGAGAAAUCUUAGCUAAUACCGCAUAACACUUACGAGUCAAAGCAGCAAUGCGCUUGGAGAGGAGUUCGCGGCAGAUUAGUUAGUUGGCGGGGUAAUGGCCCACCAAGACGAUGAUCUGUA